AGAGUUUGAUCAUGGCUCAGGACGAACGCUGGCGGCGUGCUUAACACAUGCAAGUCGAGCGGAAAGGCUUCCUUCGGGAAGUACUCGAGCGGCGAACGGGUGAGUAACACGUGGAUAAUCAACCUCUUGCUCUGGAAUACCCCGGGGAAACUCGGAUCAAUGCCAGAUAAAGUGCGGUGCUGCAGGGUGCCGUACCAAAGAUAGCUUCGGCCUUCGGCGAGAGACGAGUCCGCGGCCCAUUAGCUAGUUGGCGGGGUAAUGGCCCACCAAGGCUACGAUGGGUAGCUGGUCUGAGAGGAUGAUCAGCCACACUGGGACUGAGACACGGCCCAGACUCCUACGGGAGGCAGCAGUGGGGAAUCUUGCGCAAUGGGCGAAAGCCUGACGCAGCAACGCCGCGUGCGGGAGGAAGGCCUUCGGGUUGUAAACCGCUUUCAGGGGAGACGAAGCUUCCAGGGUGAAUAGCUCUGUGGAGUGACGGUAUCUUCAGAAGAAGUCCCGGCUAACUACGUGCCAGCAGCCGCGGUGAUACGUAGGGGACAAGCGUUGUCCGGAAUUAUUGGGCGUAAAGCGCGUGUAGGCGGCCAAGUAAGUCUUACGUGAAAUCCUGAGGCUCAACCUCAGGCCUGCGCGGGAUACUGCUUGGCUAGAGUCCGGAAGAGGAGAGUGGAAUUCCUGGUGUAGCGGUGGAAUGCGCAGAUAUCAGGAGGAACAUCCGUGGCGAAGGCGGCUCUCUGGGACGGUACUGACGCUGAGACGCGAAAGCGUGGGGAGCGAACAGGAUUAGAUACCCUAGUAGUCC
rnacentral:rRNA from 1 species